UUCAGCAACAACAUAGAACUGUGCUAAAUCAUAAAGUUGUCUAGUGUGAAAACUGGAGUAGCACUGUACUAUAUGGUUUCAAAUGAGCAGAGAUAGGUCCUCAGAUUUCUAAGGUAGAUUUAGUCCAUGAAUUGGGGCAGUCAGGAAAGGCCAGGCAACUCCUGAAUUCAUAUCCUUUACCCUAUCUCUUAUCUUUGGUCAUUUGUUUUGCUUUUAAUCUUGCUGCAGCUCAGAGCUUUUGGUCAGGUGAAAAAGAACCCUUUCCUGUCUGUUCUGGACACCAGCAGUCUGAGGACAGAAGCUGUUCAUUCCAAAAGCACAUUAAUGAAGAAAAGUAUUCCUGUUAGUCCACAAGCUGAGAGGAGCCCCAAACACCAUGAACCAUCCCUGGUCAACUCAUGCAAGAUAGCUGGCAGAAGAGCAGGCUCCGGCUCCAGACACACGAUCCAUGGCUGCAAAGGGGAAAGAAGGUGGGGCUGGGCAGGCAGCAGAGGGAACUGGGAGCAAAACUGCCACCAAUUCAUAGUGAUGCUGAAGGAUUAAAGGAGCAAGACAGUUUUUACAUCUGUAGGACACAAUAGAUGAAACGUAACAGCAGACAUCCCUGGAAUACCAACAGUGAGUCCACCAACAUGCAUUCAAAACCACAAAUACGCAUUUCUUUCUCUGUUUUGUUGUGCAAGAAAAACAGAAACUCAACUGAUUAAUUGCAGAUAUCAUCACUUUCUUCUUCAUCUUGAGAAGAUCCUGCCUGAUUAGCUGCACUGGCUGAGGCAGCAGCAAGCUGGGAUUGUUGGGCAGCUUGCUGCGUUUGAAGCCAUCCCUGUUGGGAAUUCUGCUUAUUGCUGUCUAGCUUUUGCAAAUAACUCCUGUUGCUGCCUCAGUGACUCUUCUUCAGGAGUGCCAAGGUUCUCCAAAGGAGAAGUAGCCUUUGUUCUUUUUAAUGCUACACUCUUGCAUUCUUAUAAGACUUCUUUUACCUCACUGAUGUAACAGCAAAAGCCCAAACUUUCUAGUGCCCUAAAAAAGAACAAAACAGUAUCUAUGUCUCACUGGAUCAAGGCAUUGAGAAGAAUAAAUGAAUAUAAACAAAGAGCUUAAAAUAGAGGCUGGUCCCACAGAGGAAACAAAAUCAAAUAUACACUAUUUCAGUGUCUGGGCUGUAGGAACUAACAGUUAAUACAGGUUUUUAACAUGUAAGAAUCUAACGUCUAAGAAUCACCUAAGCAAUCUGUGAUAUGUUUCUCACCUUUAUUUUUUCUCUUCAAUUUAAAAGAGUAGUGCUGGGGAUAUAGCUCAGUGGCACAAGUGCCUGCCUGGCAAGUACAAGGUCCUGAGUUUGAUUCCUGGUACCUAAAUAAAUAAAUAAAUAAAUAAAUAGCCUAAUAAGUGUGUAAAACCUAAACAGCUGUACUUCAUGACAUUAAGUUUAAAGUUGAAGUAUAUUUAUAAAAUAAAACUGCAUGAAACUGGCAAAUCAACACAAUAGAAAAUCCUUUAAAGUAGCAUGAAUUACUAGACAUUAAGAAAAUACAAAGUCCAAGAAUUUAUUCUUUUAUUUGCCUUGCAGGAUUAAACAUGACAAUAGUUCCAACUAUUGAAACAAAAUUUUGAAAAUCACUGGCUGAUGCCCAACAAAUGAGACAGAGACAGAGAGACAGAGACACAGGGACGGAGACAGAGACAGAGACAGCAGGUUUUCAGCUUCUUGGACUGGGCUGCUUCUCAUUUCCCUACCUCUCCAGACUGUAGAUGGCUGUUGGGAAACUGUUCAGUCUGAUUAUGUAAACAAAUCUAAUAAAUCUGCUCUUCUGUCCAUUUUACUGGUUCUAUUUCUGUGGAGAACCUUGACUAAUGAAAUACUUUUAACCACAAAGGGAUUGUAAUGCACAUAGAUUCAAGGGGAAAAUUGGAAAUAGCACCAGAUGUCUUUGAAUCAGGAAAUUACACAGCCCAGGUGAAACAUUCUCCAGCAAAAUCAAGAUUGUUGAGAUAGGCUUCUCAAUCUUGCAGAAAGGUAUUUAUCAUGCAUCUUUCUGCCUAGGCAGGAAAGAAACAGAAGCUGAACAACUUUAAUUCCUCUACCCUUUGUUUAGGAUACAGUUGUGUCCACACCCUUUGGAAACUAAUUCUCACUCAAGAAUCACUUUUUUAUUUUGAACUACUCUUAGUUGUGCAUACAAGUCCUAGUAUAUCAGUAUAAAAAAUGUACUUUUUAAAUGCUGGAAUAGGAAACUAGGAAUACUGUGGGUUUUCUUUUGGUUUUUGGAAUUUCCACUCAAGAAAACUACUAGAUAGAAAUGCUUUAAAGCAUGACUAAAGGUACUGGAUAGGGAGACAGGUAGAGACAGGUUUUAUCAAUGAUCAAUGUGUUUUAAAGUGCCUAGAAAUAAUUCAUUUACUCUUUAGAAAGGUGAAUAGCCAAUGCUUGCACACAGUGCUAUCACUACAGGAAUGAGAAAAUGUGCUGUGACUUCUGAACAGAAACGAGACAGGAUAACCAACUUCUCUAUUUUGAGAGAAACUUUGGGAAAGCUCAAAGUACUCUGCUUACUACCUGUAUUUAUGUGCCUUUUUCCUAGAAUAUAGGCCAAGGGCUGCUCCUGUGUCAGCUUGAUUUAAAGGAAGAGAUUUCUUACUCUUCCCAGAAUGAGGGAAGCCAUCUUGCACAGUUCCAUCAGCUAUAGGGUGGUAUAAUGCCAUUCUUCUCCCAAGGGUAGCAUUGUCUGGGAACUUGCUAGAAAGGCAAAUUCUCAGGCCCUGACCUAUACCAACUGAAGCAGCAAUCUAUGUUAAUAAGCCUUACAGAGAACUCUAAUGCAUGCUACAGGCUGAGAAACUUGUGAUAUACUGAAUGAAAGUGAAAACAUUUUUACUUGAGAAACUAUACUUUUCCUUGGGAUGUUUUGAAAACUGAUCCCUUAUUUCUUUCUCUUUUUUUGUGGGGUGUGGGUGAGGGGACAGGGUCUUGCUAUGUAGUUCAGGCUGGCCUGGACUCACUAUGUAGUCCAGCCUGGUCUUGAACUUGUGGUGAUCUUCCUGCCUCAACCUCAUGAGUUCUAGGAUUUGUUUUAUAUGUUGACCCUUUUUCUCAUUUGUAUUUUAUUUUGACUCUCUUUUUAAUUUUGAAUAUUUGUUUAAAAUUUUGCCCAUCUAGCAGAACUGGAAUCUAGUAGUAUUCAUACCUGUUGGAGGAACGAUUAGAAAUCCUAAUGGUUCUCUGGGACACAGCAAUGAACUAUAAUUUGUGAAUAAUGUGUUUCUAUCUAAUAGAACAUACUCUUCCAUAAUCAUUCACAAACAGACAUAUGUUUAAUCUUCUAAAUAAACUUUGGGAAGUUAUUAUACUUAAAAAAUAAAACAGAUUCUCAUUCCUAUUUUUUAAAGAUUGAUAUAGUUUGGUUAAGUGUCCACCAAAAGACCAUGUGCUAAAGUUUUGGGUGUCAAUCUGUGGCACUAUUGAAAGAUGGUGGAAACUUUUGAGGUUAGCCUAGUGGCCAGAACUUAGGUCACUGUAGGCAUAUCCUUUAAAGGGAUUUUGGGAUUGAGGUCCUUUCCUAUAUCUCCUUGCUUGCCAGCCACAAUGAGGUGAGCAGCUUGCAAAAGCAGUGGAGCCAAGUGACCAUGGACUAAAUCUUCAAAACUAUCAGCCACAAUAAAUCUUUCCGCAUUUUAAGUUGAUUAUCACAAGUAUUUUGUCAGAGUAGUGGAAAGCUGACUAAAAUAAAUUCAACCUGAAUUCUUUCCAGUGGGAUUUGAAUGUUCCCUCUGAAGUCCACGUGUUGGAAACUUGACCCUCAAUGUUGCAUUGUUGGAGUUGGAUCCUAGUGGGAGGUGUUUGGCUCAUGGGUGACAAUGAGGCAAAAUGAAUGCAUUAAUGCUGUUGCUGUAGGAUAGAAUCCUUGUAAAAAGACAAGUUCAGCUCCAUUACACUCUCUCUUUUGUCUUCUCUUUACCCUUCUGACAUAGGUUGACUCAGCAAGGAGGCCGUGGCCAGAUUCCUCCCCUCAAUCUUGGACUUCUCACCUCCAGAGCCAUGAGCCAAUAAACCUCUAUUCAUUGUACACUUUUCAGUCUGUGGUGUUCUAUUCCAGCAAUACACAUGCACUAAGACACUUUGCAAUAUUAAUUUCUGUGACUAUAGCGAGCCCGUCUUUGCCUGGGGCCUUGAUAGAGAUAAGACUUUACUUCUCUAUGGUCUUAACCAGAAAAUAAAGUCAAACUAGUAUGAAAAUAGUUUGAACUCAUGUCCCUGUUAGAAUUCUA
rnacentral:lncRNA from 1 species